CCCCCCCCCCCACACACACACUUUCCUCCCCCAAAGGUCACUUCCCCGUUACUUCAUACACACAAGCCAAACCUUACGACAGACCUGGAGUCGUAUAAUAUACAGCAAUUAUCCGCCUCCUCAAUUAGUCGCACUGACUGGACUACCAUAGGCGUCAUGACCCGUGGAUAGGUCACAUAAGGCCAUAGGCGCUCUCUGAACAGUUGUCUGAAAUGAGCUUGGUGCCCUACAAAAUGACCAGACGAAAGCAAAAUGCGCCCAAGCGACUUAAAAGUGAAAAGCUGUGCGGAUGGUUGGACGGCGCCACUGGUAGGUCCUAUUUCUUUUACUUUCUCUCUGUUGUGUCUUUCUGUCUGUGUGUCUCAACGUGUAUAAACUAGGUUGCUGAAGGUUUUAAAGUCUUACCAGAGUUUGACAGUAAUGUUACUGUAAACCCUCUUUGGUCUUACUGGACACGAAAUAAUCUUUGCUCGGGCAGGUAUUUUGUGCAGGUGGUUAAAGAUCGCCACUGGUAGGUCCUAUUUCUUUUACAUUUGCCCUGUGUGUGUCUCAACGUGUAUAAACUGGGUUGCUGAAGGUUUUAAAGUCCUACUUGUGGGAGGUUGGCGGGUGCUCUGGUGUGGUUUGCUUCUUCUUUCCUAUCAAACAUCUAUCGUCCUUAU